UACGUAGGGUGCAAGCGUUAAUCGGAAUUACUGGGCGUAAAGCGUGCGCAGGCGGUUUUGUAAGUCUGAUGUGAAAUCCCCGGGCUCAACCUGGGAAUGGCGAUGAAGACUGCAAGGCUUGAAUCUGGCAGAGGGGGGUAGAAUUCCACGUGUAGCAGUGAAAUGCGUAGAGAUGUGGAGGAACACCGAUGGCGAAGGCAGCCCCCUGGGUCAAGAUUGACGCUCAUGCACGAAAGCGUGGGGAGCAAACAGG
rnacentral:rRNA from 1 species